AUUGAACGCUGGCGGCAGGCCUAACACAUGCAAGUCGAGCGGAUGAAGGGAGCUUGCUCGUGGAUUCAGCGGCGGACGGGUGAGUAAUGCCUAGGAAUCUGCCUGGUUGUGGGGGAUAACGUCAGGAAACGGGCGCUAAUACCGCAUACGUCCUGAGGGAGAAAGUGGGGGAUCUUCGGACCUCACGCUAUCAGAUGAUCCUAGGUCGGAUUAGCUAGUUGGUGGGGUAAAGGCCUACCAAGGCGACGAUCCGUAACUGGUCUGAGAGGAUGAUCAGUCACACUGGAACUGAGACACGGUCCAGACUCCUACGGGAGGCAGCAGUGGGGAAUAUUGGACAAUGGGCGAAAGCCUGAUCCAGCCAUGCCGCGUGUGUGAAGAAGGUCUUCGGAUUGUAAAGCCCUUUUGGUGGGGAGGAAGGGCAGUAAGUUAAUACCUUGCUGUUUUGACGGUACCAAAAGAAUAAGCACCGGCUAACUUCGUG
rnacentral:rRNA from 1 species